UGGCAAUCUCUUGGGCCCAGCCACAAACAAAGAAAUGCAGAGCAAAAUAGGUGCAGCUUUAAAUAGCUUAACCUGAUAUUCCCAACUCUGCUACCCAAAAAAUAUGAAGUUCCUUUUGGAACUAAUAGCCUGCUGUGGCUGUUCUUCUCGUUUGCCCCCAACUGAAGACAUAGGGCCUCUCGUUCCUGGCUCGGCCCAGCCCGCUAACCGUAAGAACAGAAGGCGGAGGAGAGGUAGAGGUGGGCCGCCAAGUUGUGGUGGUUCGGUCGCUAAUUGGAGGCCGUCCCUUUCUGCCAUUUCGGAAGACAACGCUCUACCACCUAGAAAUGUGAAGAGAAAGGUGUUAACUGCUUCGCCACCAGCCACUCAGCCCCGUCGUCACAGUUUCGAAGACACUAGGAGAGUUCCUGUUUCAGCUUUGGCGCCAGCUUUCUCCCCAACUCCUUUCUUAUUUUAAUUACUUCUGUAAACGCUGGGGCUAUUUUAGUUGUGACUUGUGAGCAUGUAUGCAUGUCGUGUACGAUGAAGACAAACGAUGGAAAACCAGGCUUAAAGUGAUUGAUUUUGGAGCAUAUGAUGAUUACACGAGGUGACAAGUCGAAGACCACAAGUGAUGAACUAAAAGGAAAAAAAUAAUUCAACUGAAGGUUCCGCUUUUCUUCCGCAUCGCGUGAAGAAAGCGGACAAAACCAGCUCUUGGCCAAAAUUUACCAUCAGGCUUUUCAUCCGCGAUUCGGAAGAAAAGCAGAAGUGCAUCGCGGAAGGAAAGCGCAGCGACGAGCAGUUUUCCCUUUUCAAUCGGGAUUAGGUUUACUUAUUUUUUGUUUUAACCCUAGACUAUAUAUAGACGUUUUAUUAGCUAAAAACGGUAUGCUGGGAUAUUUGGAAGGCUUGUAAGCCACCGUUCUAAUUUCUCUCUCUAGGUUUAUUUUAUUUUUCAUCCUUUUCAACCCUAGAUUACUCAUGAAUUCUUCUUGUUCAUUGAGAAUCAUGAGUAGCUAAACUUGUUAAUUCUAGGGUUGUGGCAUAAAGACUUGAAAGUUGGUUUGAUGACAGUUAUUCUCUAUUGAUUUUCCA